UCGGGAAUCUUGCACAAUGGGCGAAAGCCUGAUGCAGCAACGCCGUGUGAGUGACGAAGGCCCUAGGGUCGUAAAGCUCUGUUGUUAGGGACGAAGGGCGAAGGGUUAAUAGCCCUUAGCCUGACGGUACCUUUCGAGGAAGCCCC
rnacentral:rRNA from 1 species